GAAGUUCCAGGAUGAAGGAUUACAAGAGGUUUGUAAGAAAACUCCAGGGGUACAGUGGUUCAGAAAUGGACAUAACAGCCUAGAGGAAGACCUGGGAGAAGCCCUUGAAUAACCAUUGGUCCAUUGUGCAUCUAGGGUCCUUAACAAAAAGAUAAAAGACAAGUGUAUAAUAUGUUGGAAAAAAAAUUUCCCAUUCCCACACAGUCUAAUGAGAAAAUAUCAGACAAUCCAAAUUGAGGAGCAUUCUACAAAAUGUCCAGUACUCUUCAAAAGUGUCAAGAUCCCCCAAAACAAGACAAGACUAAACAAGACAAGACUAAAAAACUGUCAUAGAUCAGAGAAGAAUGGAGAGACCUGGUGACUAAAUGCUUUGGGCUAUCCUGGAUUGGAUUCUAGAAUAGCAAAUAAGCAACUUUCAGUAAAUACUUUUGUAAUUGCCCAUGAGUUGUCAAGCACUCAUGAGAUGAAGUUCCAACUCUACAGAUGAAAGCCCUGUUUUUGAAUCAAGCACUUCAUGAGUAAGGAUUUCACAAAGCUGCAAAAUCUGCUCUUGAGAACCCCUGACAACUAAAUAUUCCAUGGCUUCCACUGAUAAUCAUGCUGCUUGUCAUAUACCAGGAGGUAUCAACAAUCACCAAGCUCUCGUGCAUUAACUACCUGUUUCACCUCCAUUGAGGAUAUGUCUCAGGUCAAUAAUUGGAUCUAUGAAACCUGGCUGUGAUAAAUACCAAGGAAUUCUAUGCCAGUUCACAGCAGUAAGAGUGCAGAAGUGCCAGAAGCUGAUGUGCCCAAGAACUGAGCCCAAGUCUUAGCACAAGAUCUCCAUCCAUCAAAUAACUGUAAUUUAUCACCCAGACUGAGACAUUUCUGAGAGUGAAAGGGAGCUUCAUGAGUAAUUAUUCCAGAACAACUGGAGUAUAUUGGGACUGUCUUAGACAAACUAAAAGGCAAAGUCAUUCUACUGCCAUUCUACUCCCAAACUUCUAGACUCUGGCUGAUUCUCUCCACAGACCUCUUCCCGGUGAAAAUAUCCUCCUCUUUGUAGCAUAU
rnacentral:lncRNA from 1 species